AAUUCUCAACCAUGUCUCGAUCGAUUUCGAGCCAUGGCUUGGAGUGUGGGGGGUUUGCUGGCCUUUCUCUAGGUCAGCUCUCCUGAAAUGCAUUAGCGAUCUGGCGAGCUUGGUCCUGGAGCGCACGGCCUUUCGACGUGAUAAUGAUCGUCGUGGGGCUGGAACUUUGGACCUUGCACAAAGCGAGUUCGCUUCCAACUUCAUGUGGAAGUCAUGCAUGCAUGUGCUGGCGAGGCCAUGUGUGUGUUGUACGCCACCGAUCGAAA
rnacentral:misc_RNA from 1 species